rnacentral:rRNA from 1 species
UAAAGAGCCGUUCGAGACUAGGACGUUGAUAGGUUGGGUGUGGAAGCACGGUGACGUGUGAAGCUGACCAAUACUAAUUGCUCGUGAGGCUUGACUAU